GAUGAACGCUAGCUACAGGCUUAACACAUGCAAGUCGAGGGGCAUCGGGAAGAAAGCUUGCUUUCUUUGCCGGCGACCGGCGCACGGGUGAGUAACACGUAUCCAACCUGCCCUUUACCGGGAGAUAACCCGCGGAAACGUGGACUAACAUCCCAUGAUACUCGAGAGCCGCAUGGCUCUAGAUUUAAAAUUCCGGUGGUACGGGACGGGCACGCGCGACAUUAGGUAGUUGGCGGGGUAAGGGCCCACCAAGCCGACGAUGUCUAGGGGUUCUGAGAGGAAGGUCCCCCACACUGGAACUGAGACACGGUCCAG
rnacentral:rRNA from 1 species